rnacentral:misc_RNA from 1 species
GAACUGCGAUACGUGAUGUGAAUUGCAGAAUUUGUGAAUCAUCGAAACUUUGAACGCACAUUGCGCCUGUUGGUACUCCGUCAGGCACGUCUGUUUGAGCGUUGUUAAACUCUCAGCGAAGCUGGUUGUGGAAGAGGCGGCGCCCUUCCGAAAUGUCUCAGCAUUGUGCCACGGCGAAACGUGAAGCAUUGCUGCACACCUUACUCGUAUCCACAACCUCAAAUCAGACGAGAAUACCCGCUGAACUUAA